GGAGGAGGCGCGCAGCCCCGGCGGCCAGGCUGGGCGGCCGGCACAAAGGAAGCGGACUCGCGGCGGCGGCGGCCCGCGGCCCUGCUGCACCGAAGUCCCGCACCGGCAGCCAGGAAUAAAGUUUACAUUCUCCGGAGACCGCACCCCCCACCUCCCACCCAGGACCGCGUCCUCCUCCCCCAAACUCCGCUCGGGACCCCGAGCACCGCCCCAGCCUUCCAGCCAGCACAACAAAGAGACACACCGACCGGCGAGGGUAAACAGCCGCUGAGGGCGAGCAGGGCGGGCAGGGCGAGCGCCGCGAGACCAGCAACUCCGGAGUCCCCGCUCGCAGGAGCGUAGUUUCUCCUGUUCUGCUGCAGCCGGCUCGGUAACAUUUGCAAUUUUCGACUUCACCCGCACCCCUCACACCCGAACAUUUUGAACUCACCUUUACUUUCGAACUGAGAGUUGCGGUGGGUGGGAUUUUUGUCUUCCCCAGAUGGUUGAAGGUUACGAUUUUUGUUUUUGGAAACCCUACCACCUCCUUAUCUCGAUUAUUAUUUUUGCAAGAAAAGUAUAAAGAGAGUUGGAGUGGAGGUGAGAUUUGUGAUCGGGAAAGCCCUUGACUCCCUCCUUCUCCGCCUUCCGCCUCUCUCUGAUUAGUUCCUAUCCAGCAGCAGAUUGAAGCAGGAGAUGAUUCUUCUCAAGGUUUGUUCAGCAGCUUCACUUCUAGGCGAAGGCUUCAUGAACCAAGUGACGUCAACCAACAAGGCUUCUCUCUCUCUCCUCUCUCUAACAAUGAAAGUUGCUGUUAACA
rnacentral:lncRNA from 1 species